CGACCACUGCAAACUGAACGCUUCUUCUUCCUCCUCCACUCCACGCACAGUAACGCCACCGCAAUCACUCCAGGCGCCAUGACUCCGCCCCUGCCCCUUCCGUUUUUCCCCAAUCAAGGGCUCUACUUCAAUCCCCUGCAUUCCCCCCUAUUUAAAUCUCCUCUCCCCCUGCAGCUAGUUCUUUUCUCCUCCCCUCUACAAGCAGAUCCUGCCACAACCUAGGGCACCGUCGAUGCCAGUCCUUCUGUCUGUCGCUGGACAGAGUACUAUGAAGAAGAAGACGUUGACGACGACUACUACGGUGAACCUGAGGAGUGAGGCCUCGUGUGCUACAUCGACUGCCUGUGGCUGAGAUGGAGGCACCACGCGUCGUUUAUUGUUUUCCGCUGCUAUUUCAGACUUGUAAUAAUAAUGCCCCAAGACAUUGCUUUAUAUAAGCCGAAGGGCAUUUUACUAUUCAAACUUUAUAUUAACUUUUGAACUGUCGUGCAAUGAGAUACAUUUCGCAUGUACAUUAGCAUUCCUGGGCUAGUGUUACAAGGGGUCCGGGAGUUUGUUUCCCGGUUCCCACGGCGGAGGAGUUCGGAUUCGGCCAGGCUGGCGGCCUCCGCUUCCCUGCCGCGAGGAGGAUUUCCUCGCCAUCGUCGCCUAGCUCGAUUCUGCCCAGUAGUGCACCGCUCGCCCUGCUCGCUCCACCUCUCGUUGCCACGCGCGCUGCCGAAAUCCGACGGAAGCAUAGGUAGGGAAGUCAGGGAGGGACAUAGGGAGGAGGCUGCGCGCACAGGGUAGGAGGGCGGCGGCGGAGCGCGCAGGGGAAGGAGAGGGCAGCGUCGGCUGCAUCUGCAGUGAGGGAGGGCGGCGACAGCGGUUGUGUGGAGAGCGAGACGCGGGCUGGGGAGAAGGGAAAAAAACACUUCGGCAAAGAAGCACAGCGAUCGGGGAGGGCGGACGUAUUGCGACUGUGUAACAUCGCCAACAACUCUAAUUUAAUAUAUUGGUAUAGAUUCGUUACUCUGGUCAUCUACAUUUGCACUUGGUGCUUUAAUAUACUCUUGCACAUUCUGUAUUUCAACUCAAAAGGUCAGCAGCCUAUCCGUUCUGGCGGAGCUCGCAGAUAUAUAUAGUGCUGGGGCAUGAUCAACAUCAGUAUCUAGUUGUAAUCUGAUUGUUAUAAUUAUUUACAAUCUUCCUGGCCUUUCUGUUGGUGUUGGCAGCGAGUGAUGUUAAUUUCUGACAAGUAUAUUUCAUUUGUUCAGAUAAUGUGAUAGUGCAUCUAUUCAACACCUCCAGUUAAGAAAAAUGAUACUCUCUCCGUUUCAUAAUUCUUGUCGAAAUAUUACAUGUAUCUAGACAUUUUUUUAAGAAUAGAUACAUUUAUUUUUAGCAAAUUUGAGAGAACAAUUAUGAAACGGAGGUAGUAUUUUUUUUUUUGCAAGGGUAAGAAUAUAUUAAUCAGGAGCAUAAAAAUCAUCCCGUAUCUAUUAUAUACCAAAAGUACAUGACAGAAAAACCACAAAAAAGAUAGAAGCUCUAGAAAGUCUAUAUCUACUAGUAGGUGUGCCCGUGCAUUGCUACGGAACCCGGUGGCUGGAAUCAGCUGCAAGAGGGUGCGCAGGUGGUUGGCGAAGGCUAGGAAGGUCGGGACGCUUAGGGCGCUGGGGGAUGCGGUCAUGCGCCUGCACCGGGUUGCGAGGUCUAGUGAGGAGUUGACGCGGCGGGCAGAAUGGAGCAAGCAACUCAUGGCGCCGUCAAGGUCGGCCGUCUCCCACGAGUCUGGCGGUGGAGGUGGUGGGAGAACAGGUGAAGCGGGCGGCGAUGUGAUGGUUUUGCUCGGAGUGCUGUGACGUCGAUUGGCAUCGGUUGUAGGACGGAGAAGGAGAAAUUGGGCUGGGGGUGGAGGGGGAGGCUCGGGCAUGGGCUCACGCCGGCACGGUGGCGUCGGUCGUAAGGUGGAGGAGGAAUGGUGAAUAAGACGGGAAGUAGAGAAAAUAACGUAAAAUGGCAUAUUUGUUGUAAUUUUAACAAAGUUGACCUACCGCGUCCGUACCAAUCACCACCCACUCCAAUUUAAUAGAUAAUAAUGGGAUGGAGGGGAGGCUCGGGCAUGGACUCAUGCGGGCGAGGUGACAUCGGUCGUAAGGUGGAGGAGGAGGAGUAGGACUGGAAGGAGAGAAAAUUACGGAAAUUGGCAUUAUUUGUUUUCGGCGUUCGUCAAGCCCUUCUGUCCUCCCCCGCCUCCCCCUCGUGGCCUCGUGUCCCCGGAUCUCUCAACCCGACUUCUUCCCGUUCCCUUCCCCUCCUCGCCGUCGCCGUCUCCGCCAAGGCCCCAUCAACGGAGGCUGCAGUCGCCGGAGUCCUACCUCCCCCUCCGCCCCCAGCGCCACCUCCUUUCCCCCGCCGACGCCUCCUUCCCCUGUUGUCGCCCUUCUCGCGAGGAGGAAAGAAGAGGAGAGCUUAGAUCGGAGGAGAAGAGAUGGAGAGGGCCAAACCCCCCGCCUCUCUCCCUCUUGCUCCUUCCCUCUGCUCCUCCCUCUCUCCCUCCCUCUUGCUCCUUCCAUCUGCGGCUCCCUCUCCCUCCCUCUUGCUCCUUCCAUCUGCUCCUCCCUCUCUCCCUGCUCGUUUAAUCAUCUGCUGCAGGCCGCCGCCCGACCACGCCUCCCGCCGCGCCUUCCCUCUCUCCUCUGGUCAAGAGUGAAGCAACAGCCAACCAUAAUGUUGUCGAGGAGCAGAAGAUUGCCCCCCCCCCCCCCCCCCCCCCCCCAUCCAAAAAAAAGGACACUAUGCUUUUGGUAUUUUGAGUGGACCGUUAUUACAACAUCUGAAAUACAUGCCCUUGUGUGCCUGUCCAACUGUUCCCGUAAUUUGUGGCUCGCGGACGUGGUGAUCUCAGGUGGGCUGAGUAGAGGAAGAAGAGAUGGAGCAGCAGCUGUUGGUGAGGAAGAAGCUGGCAGUGGAGAUGAAGUAGAGCAGCAGCACACAGACUGUUAUUUAAUUAGGAUCAUCUUCAUUGGGAGGAUCAGUGAGUGGAUUGAUUUGGACUCUGAGGACGAGAAGCUCCGGCUGAACACGGAGCUCAAACUCAAGCAGGAGAUUGCCUGGGCGUCCAUCACAUAAUCUGAAGCUAUUUGAAGAGGAGAUGACAAUGAGGUCAAGCUUGGUCUUAGAGAUUGAUAAUGUUCUUUGUACAACAAGAGUAUCUUGGCUGACGAGGUACGGCACGGAGCUUAUUUCGGCAUACUUCGUCGUGCUCGUCCUUGCAGUUACCUCGACGCUCAGGUGUGCAGGAUGACCUGGAGCCUUCGCUCAUAGAUUUCUUCUUCUUCUUAGAUUAUUUUUCGAGAUAUUCUGUACUUGUGUCUUCAGGUAAUAUGGAUUUUCUUCAGAUGUUUUGAUUAUGUAUUUGCAGUUCAUGUUAAUCAGCGAGAGUCAAUGAACGUGUCUGAUACUAACUGCAGCUUGAAGUUCCAAUCUUCCAUGAUUUUUCAUGCAUGCUCCA